AAGUCGUAACAAGGUUUCCGUAGGUGAACCUGCGGAAGGAUCAUUACUGAAGUGAGUCUUCAUUCAUUGAAGCUUCUUCCCAUUGUGCUGGCUUUGACCGUAUGUAAUGUUGGGGAUUAAACAUGGUUCAAGUUUUUAAUUUGAGCCGUCUCCAACAAUUUAUCUUAUCCUUUAUAAACUUGAACUGAACUCAUUUUGAGAUUACAUAAAAAAUAAUCUUUUAAUACAACUUUCAACAACGGAUCUCUUGGUUCUC
rnacentral:misc_RNA from 1 species